rnacentral:rRNA from 1 species
GACGAACGCUGGCGGUGUGCUUAACACAUGCAAGUCGAACGGAAAGGCCCUGCUUUUGUGGGGUGCUCGAGUGGCGAACGGGUGAGUAACACGUGAGUAACCUGCCCUUGACUUUGGGAUAACUUCAGGAAACUGGGGCUAAUACCGGAUAGGAGCUCCUGCUGCAUGGUGGGGGUUGGAAAGUUUCGGCGGUUGGGGAUGGACUCGCGGCUUAUCAGCUUGUUGGUGGGGUAGUGGCUUACCAAGGCUUUGACGGGUAGCCGGCCUGAGAGGGUGACCGGCAACAUGGGAACGAGAUUAGGGCCAGAACUCCAAGGGGGGGAAGAGUGGGGAAUAAUGGCACAUUGGCGGAAGGCCUAUGGCGGAACCGCGGGGGGCGGAUGAAGGGCCUCGGGUUGUAAACCGGCUUCGGCCGGGAACAAGCGUGAGGGAAGGUAAUGGGUAAAGGAGGCACGGCCAAAUAAGUG